AUGGACAAGUACUGCCGCCCCGUCGCUCUGUCCUCCCUGCUGCCCAUCCUCUGCUGCCUCUCUCUGCUCCGCGCCGGGGGCUCCGCCGCUUCAGUCGUCACCGACGGCGCCCCCGACGGCAGCGAGCUCUGGGGCUACGUCGAAGUCCGGCCAAAGGCUCACCUGUUCUGGUGGUACUACAAGAGCCCCCAGAGGGUGUCCACGCCCUCAAAACCAUGGCCGACCGUCCUCUGGCUGCAGGGCGGCCCGGGGGCGUCCGGCGUCGGGAUCGGCAACUUCCUGGAGGUCGGGCCGCUGGACGUGGACCUCAACCCCCGCAACUCCACCUGGCUGCAGAAGGCCGACCUCAUCUUCGUGGACAACCCCGUGGGCGUCGGGUACAGCUACGCGGAGAACGGCAGCGCGCUGGUGACGAGCGACUGGGAGGCGGCCGCGGACGCCACGGCGCUCCUCAAGGCGCUCGCCACGGAGGUGCCCGCCCUGCGGGAGGGGAGCCCGCUGUUCCUCGUCGCCGAGUCCUACGGCGGCAAGUACGCCGUCACGCUCGGCGUCUCCGCCGUCCGGGCCAUCCGCGCCGGCGAGCUCAACCUCACGCUCGCUGGCGUCGCGCUCGGCGACAGCUUCAUCUCCCCGGAGGAUUUCGCGCUCUCCUACGCGCCGCUGCUGCUGGACGUGUCGAGGCUGGACGACAACGCCGGCGACGCCACCAAAGGGAAGGCGGGGACCGUGAAGGAGCAGAUCGCUGCAGGACAGUUCGCCGCCGCGUGGAAGUCGUGGACGGAGUUGCUGGGGUUUAUCGACUCCAAGAGCGCUGGUGUUGACACCUACAAUUUCUUGCUUGACACGGGCAUGGACCCGGUGAAGGCGACCUCCUCUUCGUGGUCGGCGGCGAGCAAUGCCCAGACAGUGAAGUAUUCGACAUACCUCCGCCGCAAGGAGGCUGCAUCAGGUCCCAACACCAUCAGUGGCAUCAUGAACGGGGUCAUCAAGGAAAAGCUCAAAAUCAUCCCCAGUAACCUCAGGUGGCAAGGGAUAUCGGAGCUGGUCUACUAUGCGCUGGUCAACGACAUCAUGAAGCCUAGGAUCGACGAGGUUGAUGAGUUGUUGUCUUACGGUGUGAAUGUGACGGUGUACAAUGGCCAGCUCGAUGUGAUCUGCUCGACAAUCGGCGCGGAAGCAUGGGUGCAGAAGCUCAAAUGGGACGGGCUAAAGAACUUCACGAGCCUGCCAAGGCAGCCACUGUACUGUGGGUCCUCCAAGGUCACCCAAGCCUUCGUUAGAUCCUACAAGAACCUUCAUUUCUACUGGAUCCUUCGAGCUGGACACUUUGUGCCUGCUGACCAGCCUUGUAUUGCGCUGAGCAUGAUCAGUAGCAUAACCCAGUCUCCCGCAAGUUAG
rnacentral:rRNA from 1 species